UUGUUUAUCUCAAAGCGGUAAGGCACCGGAUUCUGAUUCCGGCAUUCCGAGGUUCGAAUCCUCGUACCCCAGCCA
rnacentral:tRNA from 1 species